rnacentral:rRNA from 1 species
UACGUAGGGGGCAAGCGUUGUCCGGAUUCAUUGGGCGUAAAGAGCGUGUAGGCGGCCAGGUAGGUCGGUUGUGAAAACUGGAGGCUCAACCUUCAGAGGUCGACCGAAACCAUCUGGCUAGAGACUGGUAGAGGCGAGCGGAAUUCCUGGUGUAGCGGUGGAAUGCGUAGAUAUCAGGAAGAACACCGGUGGCGAAGGCGGCUCGCUGGGCCAGUUCUGACACUCAUCCGCGAAAGCGUGGGGAGCAAACAGG